rnacentral:rRNA from 1 species
GACGAACGCUGGCGGCGUGCUUAACACAUGCAAGUCGAACGGAAAGGCCCCUUUGGGGGUACUCGAGUGGCGAACGGGUGAGUAACACGUGAGUAACCUGCCCUUGACUUCGGGAUAACUUCAGGAAACUGGGGCUAAUACCGGAUAGGAAUCCUUGCUGCAUGGUGGGGGUUGGAAAGCUUCGGCGGUUUUGGAUGGACUCGCGGCUUAUCAGCUUGUUGGUGGGGUAGUGGCUUACCAAGGCUUUGACGGGUAGCCAGCCUGAGAGGGCGACCGGCCACAUUGGGACUGAGAUACGGCCCAGACUCCUACGGGAGGCAGCAGUGGGGAAUAUUGCACAAUGGGCGGAAGCCUGAUGCAGCAACGCCGCGUGCGGGAUGACGGCCUUCGGGUUGUAAACCGCUUUCAGCAGCGGCGAAGCUUGUGGUGACGGUACCUGCAGAAGAAGCACCGGCUAACUACGUG